UUGUCUUUUAAAUAAAGACCAGUAUGAAUGGCAAGACGAAAGUUCAACUGUCUCCCUAAAUUAAUCAAUGAAAUUGAUCUUCCCGUGCAGAAGCGGGAAUAAAAUUAUAAGACGAGAAGACCCUAUGGAGCUUUAAAUAUAUGAUCAACUGUGUAAUAUAAAAUUCAACAGAUUAAACAUCAAAUAAAACAUCAUGAUCAAAAUUUUAGGUUGGGGCGACCACGGAGAAAAACAAAACCUCCGAGAUGAAAAGAGUAUCUUAAUUUAUGAACUACAGUUCUAAUAAAUAAAAUAUUUAACAUAAUUGAUCCAAUAUAUUGAUCAACGAACUAAGUUACCCUAGGGAUAACAGCGCAAUCCUUUCCAAGAGUCCCUAUCGACGAAUGGGUUUACGACCUCGAUGUUGGAUCAGGACACCCCAAUGGUGCAGCCGCUAUUAAAGGUUCGUUUGUUCAACGAUUAAAGUCCUA
rnacentral:rRNA from 1 species